UACGGAGGGUGCGAGCAUUAAUCGGAUUUAUUGGGCGUAAAGAGCGCGUAGGCGGGUAAGCAAGUCAGAUGUGAAAGCCCGGGGCUCAACCUCGGAAUAGCAUUUGAUACUACAUACCUAGAGGGUAGGCGGAGAAAACGGAACUCCACAAGUAGCGGUGAAAUGCGUAGAUAUGUGGAAGAACACCAGUGGCGAAGGCGGUUUUCUAGCUUAUACCUGACGCUAAGGCGCGAAAGCAAGGGGAGCAAACAGG
rnacentral:rRNA from 1 species